AAAGCAGGGGAUCGUAAGACCUUGCGCUUUUGGAGUGGCCGAUGCCUGAUUAGCUAGUUGGUGGGGUAAGGGCCUACCAAGGCGACGAUCAGUAGUUGGUCUGAGAGGACGACCAGCCACACUGGGACUGAGACACGGCCCAGACUCCUACGGGAGGCAGCAGUGGGGAAUUUUGGACAAUGGGCGGAAGCCUGAUCCAGCAAUGCCGCGUGAGUGAAGAAGGCCUUCGGGUUGUAAAGCUCUUUCAGUCGAGAAGAAAAGGUUGCGACUAAUAAUCGCAACUUAUGACGGUAUCGACAGAAGAAGCACCGGCUAACUACGUGCCAGCAGCCGCGGUAAUACGUAGGGUGCGAGCGUUAAUCGGAAUUACUGGGCGUAAAGGGUGCGCAGGCGGCUCUGUAAGUCAGAUGUGAAAUCCCCGGGCUUAACCUGGGAAUUGCGUUUGAAACUACAAAGCUAGA
rnacentral:rRNA from 1 species